rnacentral:piRNA from 1 species
UUGGAAGCAGAUAGCCUUUGACUACAGU